CCUACGGGUGGCAGCAGUGAGGAAUAUUGGUCAAUGGACGAGAGUCUGAACCAGCCAAGUAGCGUGAAGGAUGACUGCCCUAUGGGUUGUAAACUUCUUUUAUAUGGGAAUAAAAUGUUCCACGUGUGGGCUUUUGUAUGUACCAUAUGAAUAAGGAUCGGCUAACUCCGUGCCAGCAGCCGCGGUAAUACGGAGGAUCCGAGCGUUAUCCGGAUUUAUUGGGUUUAAAGGGAGCGUAGGUGGAUUGUUAGGUCAGUUGUGAAAGUCUGCGGCUAAACCGUAAAAUUGCAGUUGAAACUGGCAGUCUUGAGUACAGUAGAGGUGGGCGGAAUUCGUGGUGUAGCGGUGAAAUGUUUAGAUAUCACGAAGAACUCCGAUUGCGAAGGCAGCUCACUGGACUGCAACUGACACUGAGGCUCGAAAGUGUGGGUAUCAAACAGGAUUAGAUACCCCAGUAGUC
rnacentral:rRNA from 1 species